UGGAUAGACAGUAUGAACAGUGCUCCA
rnacentral:piRNA from 1 species